GGGACGCAGAAGGGGCGUGGCUGGACUCGCCCCUCGGACCAGAGCUUCCUGGUCUGGGGCGUUCAGAGUCGGGACCCGCAUGACUGAGGAUCAAGGAAAAGGCCGACCUCCUCAGAUUCCAGAGCGAAUCAGUCCCUAUUGAUUGACGGCUAUUUGUCCAGUGUUUUUGUUGAUGUCUUAGUGCAUUAACAGUGCUCACACAAAGGGCUGUGAGUUCUUCAUCUGAUGACCUCCUAAUGCCUGCUUGUUGGAUCUUGGGAAGCACUGAAGAUAAUAGCUGAGAGCAUUCACAGUCUGAACUACAGGUCUGUGGGACUAUAGCUGCUUCAAGUUCCUGUUGCCUUGAUUUCCCUGAAGUGAUGGACUGUAACCUGGAA